rnacentral:rRNA from 1 species
AGAGUUUGAUCAUGGCUCAGGAUGAACGCUAGCGGGAGGCCUAACACAUGCAAGCCGAGCGGUAUUGUUUCUUCGGAAAUGAGAGAGCGGCGUACGGGUGCGGAACACGUGUGCAACCUGCCUUUAUCUGGGGGAUAGCCUUUCGAAAGGAAGAUUAAUACUCCAUAAUAUAUUGAACGGCAUCGUUUAAUAUUGAAAGCUCCGGCGGAUAGAGAUGGGCACGCGCAAGAUUAGCUAGUUGGUGAGGUAACGGCUCACCAAGGCGAUGAUCUUUAGGGGCCUGAGAGGGUGAUCCCCCACACUGGUACUGAGACACGGACCAGACUCCUACGGGAGGCAGCAGUGAGGAAUAUUGGUCAAUGGGUGCAAGCCUGAACCAGCCAUCCCGCGUGAAGGACGACUGCCCUAUGGGUUGUAAACUUCUUUUGUAUAGGGAUAAACCUACCCUCGUGAGGGUAGCUGAAGGUACUAUACGAAUAAGCACCGGCUAACUCCAUG